rnacentral:rRNA from 1 species
UAUAAGAUUUAACCUGCCCGCUGAAUAAUUGAAUGGCCGCGGUAUUUUGACCGUGCAAAGGUAGCAUAAUAAUUAGUUUUUUGAUUGAAAGCUGGAAUGAAUGGUUGGACGAGAAAAUUACUGUCUCUGAUUAAAUUUUUAAUAAAAUUUUAUUUUUAAGUUAAAAAGCUUAAAUGUUGUUAAAAGACGAGAAGACCCUAUAGAGUUUAAUAAUUUUUUAAUAAUAUAAUUUUAGGUAUUUAAAUUUUGUUUUUAUGAAAUUAUUUUAUUGGGGUGAUAAAAAGAUUAAAUUAACUCUUUUUUUAUUUUUACAUUUAUAGAUGAUUAUUUGAUCCAAUUUUUUUGAUUAUAAGAAUAAAUUACCUUAGGGAUAACAGCGUAAUCUUUUUAGAGAGUUCUUAUCGAAAUAAGGGAUUGCGACCUCGAUGUUGGAUUAAAGUUAAUUUUUGGUGUAGAAGCUUGAAAAUUGAGUCUGUUCGACUUUUAAAACUUUACAUGAUCUGAGUUUAAACCGGUGUGAGCCAGGUUGGUUUCUAUCUUUAUUUAAUAAAAAUAUCUUAGUACGAAAGGACCAA